rnacentral:misc_RNA from 1 species
AAGUCGUAACAAGGUUUCCGUAGGUGAACCUGCGGAAGGAUCAUUAUUGAAUUCUCUUUUCUCUCUCUCGCGGAGAGGGAAAAAACAACCACUGUGAACUUGUGUAAAACCACCUAUUUUCCCCGCAAGGGGGAAAGCAAAGCAGACAACUUUUUAUUGUUGGACCUCUCCCAAAAAAACCAAAACCAAAAAAAAAACUUUCAACAACGGAUCUCUUGGCUUGCCCAUC